GUGGGGAAUCUUCCGCAAUGGACGAAAGUCUGACGGAGCGACGCCGCGUGAGUGAAGAAGGCCUUCGGGUCGUAAAGCUCUGUCAUCAGGGACGAACGGCCGGUGGAGUGGAAAGCCACCGGAUUGACGGUACCUGAGAAGGAAGCCACGGCUAACUACGUGCCAGCAGCCGCGGUAAUACGUAGGUGGCAAGCGUUGUCCGGAAUUAUUGGGCGUAAAGCGCGCGCAGGUGGGAUCUUAAGUCCAUUUUGAAAGUUCGGAGCUCAACUCCGUGAUGGGAUGGAAACUGGGAUUCUUGAGUACCGGAGAGGAAAGCGGAAUUCCCCGUGUAGCGGUGAAAUGCGUAGAUAUGGGGAGGAACACCAGUGGCGAAGGCGGCUUUCUGGACGGUGUCUGACACUGAGGCGCGAAAGCUAGGGGAGCGAACGGGAUUAGAUACCCGGGUAGUCC
rnacentral:rRNA from 1 species